ACGAGUUUGAUCCUGGCUCAGAGCGAACGUUAGCGGCGGGCUUAACACAUGCAAGUCGAGCGAGAAAGGGGCUUCGGCCCUGAGUACAGCGGCGGACGGGUGAAUAACACGUAGGUAACCUCCUUCCAGCGGGGGACAACGGUCCGAAAGGACCGCUAAUACCGCAUACGUUCCCUGGGACCCUGGUCCCGGGGAGGAAAGCUCCGCAAGGGGCACUGGAUGAGGGGCCUGCGUAGCAUCAGCUAGUUGGUGGGGUAAUGGCCUACCAAGGCUAAGACGCUUAGCUGGUCUGAGAGGAUGAUCAGCCACACUGGGACUGAGACACGGCCCAGACUCCUACGGGAGGCAGCAGUGGGGAAUAUUGGACAAUGGGCGCAAGCCUGAUCCAGCCACGCCGCGUGAGUGAUGAAGGCCUUCGGGUCGUAAAGCUCUGUGGGGAGGGACGAAUGGCGCCGUGAAGAGCGGCGAGUGACGGUACCUCCUUAGCAAGCACCGGCUAACUUCGUG
rnacentral:rRNA from 1 species